GAGUGCCACUUGUCGCUAAAUGAAUAAGCUUCCAGACAUAUUUUGAGUGCCACUUGAAGAUGUUGCUAUUUGAAAAUUAUUGAAAAAAGUAAAGGAAAGAUUAUUAGAAGAGGUAAGAGAGGGGUGUGUAUGAAAAUAGUGUUUAAGGUGAAUAGAAUGUGAAGAAUUGAAAUAAAAUGAGGGUAAGAUAAUAUGGAAGGGUGAAAAAGAUGGGAAAGAUGGUGUAGAAAUGUGUUAGGUAUUUAUAUAAAAAAAAAUAGAAUUUUUAAUUUCGUCUUAAAAAA
rnacentral:lncRNA from 1 species